ACAGCUUCUCUGGGCACCCUGUGCCAGCGCCUCAGCACCCUCACAGGGAAGAGCUUCUGCUUAAUGUCUAAUGUAAAUUUACUUUCUUUUCUGCCUUUUCUUUUUCUUUCUACCUGUUCUGCUUGGUCUCAGCUCUACGUCAGCUACUGCUCCAUGCACCCUGAUCUACACCAUACUCGCUUUUACCAAGUUCCUUACCUGGGGCUGAUGUUACCAGGACUUUCUUACAUUGCUGUGAGCUUUUCCAGGCUCUUGGACUGCAGACAGUGCUCAUGGGCUGACAGCAAUUUGUAUUAAGAUGCCAGGAGCGUAGGCAGUGGUUGCUGUGUUCUCCAGCAAAUAUCGGUUUAUUCGAGAGCUGAACCAUGGCCCCAGUGAAAACACUAGAUCUCAGUUUGUUUCUGUAGGUCUGUAUGGGUCCAUGCAGUGGUGGAGCUUAGUUACUGCUCUGUUCCUUCUCUUUUACAUGACCUGAGCGUUUUAGAGCCAUUUCAGGUGUCUGCAAAGACAUGGCAGUGUCUGAGCAUACAUUUUGUUUCUUUCCCUGCAGAACAGAGCUCUUCUAACAGCUCUCCAGAGGGCAUUGCUGCUGUUUGUGGCUGAGAUCUUUAAUGAAUGUGUAUGGAUAGGCCAACAUCAAACUUACAGGAAAGGUACACCCAUGCAGCUGAUUUCAUGUUUGUGUCUUCUUUUGAUGGCCUUCCUGAAGUUGGCAACACAAACUGACCCAUGAUUUAAAGGCUCCAAGUUCUGGAGAAGCUGCUGCAUUCCUAGGCACAAAAGCUGACUUGAACAUAGUCAAACAGUGGCACUCUGCUAAUGCUAAUCAGAGAACACACACUCAGCAGCUCUUUGUGGUCCCCAGCUAUUUUCCAUUGGUGGUCAAUUAGAGGACUAUAUUAUUUGCAGCAUGUCCCAAGACUGAUAACAAGGUCUACACUUGGAAGAAAAAGGAUAUACUCCUCAGAGGACCAGCUUGUGGUAAUAUAUGGAGUAAUAAACCCAAUAAUGCCACUGAAACAAGGAGCAAAGAUUGGUUUAUGGGACAGCUGGAUGUUUUAAUGGAGAAAUAUAGCAUUAAGGGACAUGGUGACAAAUCAAGAGAGGUGGGGUUGAGGCUCGCAGAAACCACACAGGCGGAAGAGAUGGGAAAUAGCUUUUUCUUGUUCAAUAAGCCCCUACCUCCCUUUUAAUAGCAAGGAGAAAAUGUUCCUCAUGGGAAAGUGUUUUACACAACUUCAUGGAGAUGAGAUGACCACAGCUUCGGCUCAUAGACUUGUGCAUGGCAGCUUCUGCUGUCCAAUGCUGCUGCGUGGCACCAUUGCUGUGCCUCUGGGCUGUGCGAUGCUCACGUGGCAAUCAGAAAGUCAUCCUUCUGCUUUUCCCUCCACUCAUCAGCAUCCUUAAGUGACCCACGCUUCCUCCCUCAACUCCAACCCCCAUCCUAUACCUUAAUCUCUGCUUGGAAACACACAGCACCAAUUGGAAAGAGAGGUUGAAAAUCAAGAGCGAUGCUUUUAGCCUUUCAUAAGGAUCUAGAACACUUGACCUUUUUUCCUCCCACUGGGUUACUCCUCUCCUUUUAAUAAAUCAAAUAAAACUGUAGAAGCAGUGCA